AUUACUGCUUGGGGCAUUAUGUAGCCAUGGACAGGCCAUGCCACGGGAGGAGAAGCACCGGUUGAGGAACCAAGUGGUCGAGAUGUUUGACCAUGCAUAUCAGAAUUAUAUGGACCAUGCAUACCCAGCAGAUGAGUUGAUGCCACUGACAUGCAGAGGAAGAGUACGUGGGCUUGAACCCAGUCGAGGUGACGUAGACGACGCUCUGGGAA